CAGUAGCCACGGUAAUACGAAGGGGGCUAGCGUUGCUCGGAAUUACUGGGCGUAAAGGGAGCGUAGGCGGAUCGUUUAGUCAGGGGUGAAAUCCCGGGGCUCAACCUCGGAACUGCCUUUGAUACUGGCGAUCUUGGGUAUGGGAGAGGUGUGUGGAACUCCGAGUGUAGAGGUGAAAUUCGUAGAUAUUCGGAAGAACACCAGUGGCGAAGGCGACACACUGGCCCAUUACUGACGCUGAGGCUCGAAAGCGUGGGGAGCAAACAGGAUUAGAUACCCCCGUAGUCCCUGUCUCUUAUAC
rnacentral:rRNA from 1 species